GACAGUGGGGCAAAUGAGAUCAGCAAUUCUCCCUAUGAGGAGGGGCUCCCAUUAGCUGCUCUCCCCAGAGAGCUAAAGGAGGGAAGCUGCUCAAACGCUCUGUCCCUCUCUGCUCAGGAUAUUGGGGUUCAGCUUCCUGGGUCAGAGACUGCAGCCUCCAUUGUGAUCUGGGAGACCAGGCUUGGCAGCUGCUGCUCCCCCAGUGGGGCUCUGUGCUGGGAAGUGACCUUAAUUAAAGCUUCUUCUCUGCCCGGCCCAGGGGAUGACUUUCUGCAGCUGGUCCUAGCCCCCUAGGGCAGCCCUGGGCCCUGUUACUACUAAAUUCUGAGCCAGAGUCUCCAGACAGGCUGCAGAAUGACGUCCAUGUUUUGCUCCAGCUCAUCCCAGCCUGGCGUGGGACAGGGAAGAGAAAUGGCUGCAGUGGAGUCAGUCAAGGGGCUGGUGACCUUCAAGGAGGUGGCUGUGUAUUUCACCAGGGAAGAGUAGGCUCUGCUGGACCCCACUCAGAGAGCCCUCUACUGGGAUGUCAUGCAGGAGAACUAUGAGACUGUGACCUCGCUGGGCCAGAGAAUAACAUCCAUGUUUCGCUUCAGAUCAUCUCGUCCUCCCAGGGGGAAGGAAAUGGCUGCAAUGGAGCUGGCUCAGG